rnacentral:rRNA from 1 species
GCAAGUCGAGGGGUAACAUUGUGCUUGCACAGAUGACGACCGGCGCACGGGUGCGUAACGCGUAUAGAAUCUACCUUACACUGAGGGAUAGCCUUUGGAAACGAAGAUUAAUACCUCAUGGUAUCAUUGAAUGGCAUCAUUUUAUGAUUAAAGGUUACGGUGUAAGAUGACUAUGCGUCCUAUUAGCUUGUUGGUAAGGUAACGGCUUACCAAGGCAACGAUAGGUAGGGGCCCUGAGAGGGGGAUC